rnacentral:misc_RNA from 1 species
AAGUCGUAACAAGGUUUCCGUAGGUGAACCUGCGGAAGGAUCAUUAACAAUGAUAUCCAUCAUACACCGUGAACCUUUAAAAACUUGAAAUUUUUGGCAAGGUAAAAAGUAUUUUUAUAGUACCCAAAAAUUUUAAUUUUAACCACAACACUUCAAAUUUAUACUUAUAAUUGUUGAAAUAUUAAACAACUUUUAGCAACGGAUCUCUUGGUUCUC